GAUGAACGCUGGCGGCGUGCCUAAUACAUGCAAGUCGAGCGAACAGGCGAGGAGCUUGCUCCUCUGACGUUAGCGGCGGACGGGUGAGUAACACGUGGAUAACCUACCUAUAAGACUGGGAUAACUUCGGGAAACCGGAGCUAAUACCGGAUAAUAUAUUGAACCGCAUGGUUCAAUAGUGAAAGACGGUUUUGCUGUCACUUAUAGAUGGAUCCGCGCCGCAUUAGCUAGUUGGUAAGGUAACGGCUUACCAAGGCAACGAUGUGUAGCCGACCUGAGAGGGUGAUCGGCCACACUGGAACUGAGACACGGUCCAGACUCCUACGGGAGGCAGCAGUAGGGAAUCUUCCGCAAUGGGCGAAAGCUUGACGGAGCAACGCCGCGUGAGUGAUGAAGGUCUUCGGAUCGUAAAACUCUGUUAUUAGGGAAGAACAAAUGUGUAAGUAACUAUGCACGUCUUGACGGAACCUAAUCAGAAAGCCACGGCUAACUACGUG
rnacentral:rRNA from 1 species